AGUAUCGAGGGUUAAAUCCAGACUCUUGCACAUGUGAGUGCGGCAAGAGUGUCCCUGCUACAGAUCCCGCUACCACAGACUGAGCCGCUGGGCUCUGCCUUCCCUGCCAAAGAACCUGCCACUCCUCUGAAACCUUGAUUCGGGGCUCAUCUUUUCUGCCUUAAGUUGUUUGUGUCUGGGGUUCUGGCCACAGUGACACAAAAGUAGUAAAUGGAGAAUGUGUAUGUGAUUUCCAUUUUACAGACAAGUGAAUACAGACUACAGAGAACCCAUACUUUGACAGCCAUACAGGCAACUACUGACGACGCCAGAACGAACACCCCUGUUAUCGGAUCUACCCGUGGAGUGUUUCCACAAUCAAUUUCCUAGACGACGCAAGGUGAAGAAGAUUAGCUGAAGAAAAUCAUCACCUGAAAUUUAUUCUAUCUCAUUAAACAAAUAGUUGAACUGA